rnacentral:rRNA from 1 species
AGAAUCAACGCUGGCGGCGUGCCUAACACAUGCAAGUCGAACGAGAAAGUGGAGCAAUCCAUGAGUAAAGUGGCGCACGGGUGAGUAACACGUGACUAACCUACCCUUGAGUGGGGGAUAACCUAAGGGAAACCUGGGCUAAUACCGCAUAAUACCUUCGGGUCAAAGGAGCAAUUCGCUUAAGGAGGGGUCGCGGCCGAUUAGUUAGUUGGCGGGGUAAUGGCCCACCAAGACUGUGAUCGGUAU